ACCCGCCCUUGAGGCUCUGGUCAGGGAGAGGGUGGAGACCUCGCGUCCAAAACGCACACAGAUUCCCCGCGGCCCACAUCUCAGGAAGGCCAUCUGCUUCUGCCGUUCCUUUGACCUUUUGUUAGAACCCACCCUCCUUGGCUCGAAAAUGCCACUAAAACAUCUGGGACCUGCAGCAGUUUUACACCCUGGUCUGAAAGCAAGUGAAAUCAGGUUAGUAGUAGAGCUUUUAGGGGAGUUUCUCCUAGGCGCCCAGUGUUAGGCUGGAUGUUGGUGGGAGAGGUUAAUCUUUUCAGUCAAUAGUGUCAGGACUGCAAAAAGAUAAUUUCACUUAAUGUUUUCAAAGUUUCUGAAAGACAAAUAAUAGUAUCUCCACUUCGCUGGUAAGGACCUCGGCUCUGGGAGAUCCACCAGUUGUUUUGAUGCAGCUUGACUUCCUAAAAAGGAAGACAGAAUAGAAACUGAGUCUUAAUAAUGUAUGUAUGAGUUGAUUUUAGUUCUUCUGUACACCUUGCUUUAGAAGUUCUUACUGUGUAUUUCUGUAUCAGUAUCUGAGAUUCCAAGAAACACUGGAGCUGUGGACACCUGGCUUUUGGCCUGUUCAGAUAUGUGACAUGGAAUAAACCACUGAAUUUACUAGAUUCAACUUCCUCUGUAACAUAAGAGAUAAGAACUAAAUGAACUUACAGCCUUUCUUAUUCCUAAAUUGGUAAUUGUUUUAAAAUUUGGUAUGCAUUUCAUUGCCAUUAGGAUAACUACUUUAAAAAAAUAGAAUAACACUAGUAACUCAGGAGCCAAUUGUAAGAGUACGUCGGGAGAUGGAGACCCUUGUAGACUACUGGUUGGAAUAUCAAAUGAAGAGACAGUGUAGGGACCAAAGUGGUAGUUACUCAAAAGAUUCAACACAGAACUGACAAAGGACCCAGUAAUCCCCCUGUUGGUUCUGUCCACUAAGGACUAGAAAUCAGAGACUUGAACAAUUAUUUGUAUACUCGUGAUCAUAGUAGCAUUGUUUGCCUUAGCCUAAAGUGGGAACAAUCCGAAUGCUUUUCAGUGAAUGAAUGUAUUAAAACAUAUUCUUGAUAUGCACAUUGGAAUAGGAUUCAACCCAGGAAAGGGAAGGAAUUCUGACCUUUGCCAUGUCUGUGUGACGCUUGAAGACCAUCAAUCAGUCCCAAAAGGACACACAGCGUCCCAGUCAACUCUACAGGGUGCCAAGCCAGAGCUGUAAUCUGUAUAGAGAUUAGGACUGGUGGAGGGGAAAGAGAAGUGGUGUUUCACAGGUGCAGAGCCUUGGUUUGGAAAGAGAAGAGUUUUUGCAGUUGGGUAAUGGUCACCCAGCAAUCUGAAUAUAUUUUAUGUUUCCAAAUUCUAUGAGUAAACAUGGUUAAUAUGAUAAACAAAACUGUGAUUUGAUAAAAAACAAAGAUGCUAAAAAUGUGAUAUGGGUUGUGGUAGCAAAUUUUAAACGUGAUCCAUUCUCCAGUUUCCUAAGUGUUUUGAGGGAUCUCCAAAGCUGAAUUUACACUCUGGAACUGUCCUGAGAUACUCCCUUGCUGCAGUGAACAGGGUAAGAAGUUACCUGGGAGGAAGAAGCGCUUUGAAGAAGGUGGUACUCGUUUAUAAUACAAUUCUGCAUUGGCAAGAGUGCAGCGUGGCCAGGAAAAUGAGAGCUGGAUAAUGUGGCCAAAUCUAACAACAAGGAAAAUAGAGGCCCGUGCUGGCACUGGAGACCAAGGCGGGCGGGAACCUUUAUGCCUCUGCAGAGUUGGUGCUGGGUCACACUGCAGUGCCAGUGCCCUUGGAGCUUUGGAGCUGGAGGAUGGCAAUGCUCUGAUUUGUGCUUUUAAAGAUUCCCCCCGCAGCAUUUGUGGAGAGAACCAGAAGGCGGCAAGAGCCUAUAGUGUGCUUGUGACAGGUGGUUGCCAUACUCAGCAACACUGAAGUCAGAGAGGAGGUAGAGCGUGGUUAGGAGGCAGGAGAAUCAGCAGAACUGGAGGUGCGUUAGCCCAGUCCUCUGCAUUUAUGUAUCAAACUGAUCAUGUUUCCCCAUGCUGCAGUCACACCCCACCUGGAACUCUGUCACCUUGUCGGAGAGUUCUGCAGCCGUUUCUCGAUUCACAGCCUUCUGUUCUUGCUCCUGAAGGCGUCUUUUACUUAGCAGCUAGAUUUAGCUUUUUAAAAUGCCAUUUUAUACAUAUAAUUUCAUUACUCAAGACAUCGACAAAGUUUACCCACUGACUACACAAUUAAACCCACAUUCUUUAACCCAGCAUCAGAGGCCCUUUGAGAUCUGGUCUUUCUACACUUCAGAGCUUUGUUCUUUUAAUAUGGGGUCCAUGGAUCAAAAGUAUUUCUCCAGGACCCUGACCACUAGCCACUUUUGGUGCCUCACCCCUCACCAUUCCGUCACUUGUGUAAAUGUCGCUUCUCCUCUAUCCCGUGGCAGAACUCAUUUCUUGGGAUCCUUUCUUGUGCCUACAGUGCAUGAGAAGCACCGUUGGCAUUGUCUCUGCCUCUGAGAAUGCUGGGAUGCUCUGCCAUCAAUUGCUUGCAAGUUUUUACGUGUCAGUGAAAGCAGGAAUCUUAUUUCCUGUGGAGAGGAUUCUCACGGUGCAGAAUUUCUUGCUGAUGAUGUUGUCAAUCACCUUGCACUUGCCCUGCUCAGAAUGCUAACGAGGAAGCCUGAGAGACAGGGAGGCUGAAAAGGCAGGGUUGGGGAAAGUUCUCAAGCAGAGAGGGAAGGUCAGAAAUGACUGGCAUGCAACUGUUAGUGAUAAGUGAUUGUCAGCUUCAUCUAACUUACAGCAGCAAAUUAUGAGUUCCUCAGGGACAGGCUCCCUUACGUCUUGGAAAGAUUGCAUGGUCACAAGAUAGUUCAGGUCAGGGGAUGCAGAGUCUGUUUUAAGGUAUGGACUGUGGGAUAAGCAACGGCGGGAUGAAGACCGACAGGUUAGCAGGUCAUUGUAGCACAGGAGAGCAAGUAUGGUGAAACAAAGCUACGCAGUAGCUCAGAAAAAGGUGCAUUCAUGCUGCCCAGAGCAGUUCAUUGCUACACAGCGGAUCAGGCCGUGAUUUGAGGGAGGGGCACUUCUCUCACCCCAGCACACCUCUGCAUACAUUGCUUUUCCUGGCGUCAGCUCCUUACAUCUUGUUCCAAAGGCCUGGGCUCCAGCCACAUGAACCCAGACUGUACUUUCCAAGCCAAUCCUCUCACCUUGUGUUCUCACAGAGAGUUGUAGUUGCCCGGUCAUCUUUAACAUGCAGAUAAAACACUGCAGGAUCUCUGGGUCUGCUUCAGGAGGUCCCGGGAGAUGCCAGCCCUGCUACCUCAGCCACAAGCCAAAUUUCGAGUUGCAAGAUUGCUGCGACUUCCCUGAAAUACCUCCAGCCAUAUUCAAGCCCUCUAUGAUUUAGGAAAGGAGUGGUGUCUCCCCUUUAGGCUGCCCGUCAAGCUAGGACUGACUGUUCUCAGUGCUUCUGGUCUCUGCCUGCCAAGCAAGACUUCUUUCCCAAUCUUCCCUUUCAGCCAAUCAUAGGUUCAUUGCCAAAGGGGCUUGGUGCAUUUCAUGUCUGCCCCGAGUGGCAUCUGUCACUGAGUGGAGCUGUAAUAAAUAUUUGCUUGAUUGAAUUUGAACUGAACUUAACUAUUAUUGCAUAUGGGUGAAAUAUGUGUGCAUUUUGUGCUUGUACACUUGUGUAUGUGAGUGUGUGUAUAUAGAUAUAUUAGCCCCAUUUGAUGCAGGCUGACCAAAUCAGAAUACACUGAAAACUAUAUCACUGUGUCACUACAAAUUAAAAUAAAUUACAGAUUAUAGUUGUUGUGGUGGCAGAAAUCACCUAUGCUUGCUUGUAAGUUUGAUGAGAACACUUUUUUACUUGUUGAUCACUGAACCUCCAGAGCAUAAGCCUGUGUGUUGCACUUAGCAUGUGAUCAAUAAAUAUCAUUUGAAAGUAAAACAAAUGAAGAACAUACUGAAAUUUUGAUUCUGUGAAUAAAAGAAUCCCUCAGAAAUGGAGUCGUUAAAAUCAUGUUAAAAUGCAGCUCAGUGGCAGAACAGUUGCCAAACAUGCACAAGGCCCUGGAUUUGAGUCCCAGCACCAGAAAACAAACCAUCACCACCACCAAAAAAAAAAAAAAAAAAAAAAAAAAAAAAAAAAAAAAAUCUGCAUUUUGCUGCAAUAAGACAAAAACAUGCAAACCAAUGAACGAUGACCUGGGUAUUUCCACACAAGAAAAGUAGGACCAAAAACAUCUGAAAUUCCUUGCCCUAUAAUGAAAGCAUUCUUUUUUUUUUUUCAUUUUAAGAGCAUUUUCAUAUUUAGAAACAAAACAAAAUCUAAGAUAUUUUUCCGUGUGACUUGUCCUUUUCCCUCACAUACCACAUUGUUUUAGAUCAACAAAGAUUUUAUUUGGUUGUUAUUAAAUAUCAAAAGGGGCCUUCUUAAUUGCAAACAUACAAGCCUUUGCCUUGCCGUUCCCUGUUUCUGCUGAUGAGGGAGGUUUGCAGCCUUAUUUGGUACGAAAAUAGCUCUGCUUCCUGACCAUUAUCAUCUUUGUAGGGUGGGCCAGGGAUAGUGCCUUUAAAACACAGGAAGUUUAGCACUUCACAGUCUUCAAACAGAACUUCUGGUUACAAAGACGCUCCUUUUACAGAGGAAAACUUGCUAGAAUGUUUAUCUUCUUCGGUCAGUUGACAUUGCAAUACUAUAUUAGUGCAUUAGGACUUCCAUAUAGUUAACAGCACAGAAGUGUCGCUUGGUUCUGUUUCUUUUAUUGAAUGAUGUUUUUCAGAACAAUCCAUACUUUUCUGUUGCUGAGUCAGCGUCACAGUCAUUACGGCAUAGGUGACUCCCAUGAUCAGUAAAAAACCUUUUACAAGCUCAUCUUUUCCCUAUCAAGAAUUAUGGCGUAACUUGAGUAUUUUUAAGCGGUAACUUAAUAGCAGUGUUAAGCACUGGGAAUAGUCUGCUAAGCACUGUACCUACCAUUAAGUUCAUCCAGUAUAAAGACGAUCUCCACUCUGCAGGCUCACAGAGUAAUCCUUUCACCAUUUCCACUUGUGCUGGACCUUAUGGUGCAAGGAUUAGUGACUUGUUCAGGUUUUGCAUAGUCAGAACUGGAGGUGAAACUCUGAUUGCCUUCUUGGCUUAAAAGCCCACACUUACUUCUAAAGAAGCUUUUUUAAGAAAACUAACACUACUCGGUUAAAAUGUAAUGACUCUGUGCAAAACAUGCCACACUAGGAUUGCCUGCAUUUUAGGCAAUAGAAUUUUAAUUUGUUCAUUUAUUCAAUAAACAUUUACUGGGCUUCUGCUAUGUACUUGAUGGUAUGCCAACUGCUAAAAAUAGAGAUAUUGGGGCGAGGAGAAAAAGACAAUUACAAGACAAAUGCAAUUUAAAAUUGCCAACAUUCUGCUGGUUUUGAGCUACAAAAAUGCCAGUUCAUGGGAGUUAAACUAAACACGUUACCCAAUAAAGAGAGCAGCAAGGUUUACUCCAAAUAGUCUGGCUUAGUCUUUUAGGAAAGGCAAGAUCCCAGUAUUAUUUCUCUAAAUUUUAAUGAUGACAGAUAUGCAGACAAAGAGUGUUUCUUUUGGAGCAAUAGGAUCCUGGAGUUUUCUGGGAUUCUCCUGGCACAAAGACCCAGAAUGGAGCUGGGCCUUGGGGAGACAGGCCUGAAUCCUCAACCAUGCUCUGUCCUCAAGGGAGCUCUGUGGCAACUGGGAUCAUCUCAUCUCUCAGCUACAUCCCCCUUAUGUGGAAUAACACAGAGAAUUAACAGGCUAUUUCAGAGGCUCAUUCUUCAGUAAAUGAACAUAUCAGGAACUUGCCCAGUAAUUGCCAUUCCUCUGGCACAGAGCCCCUUCAUUUUUACUGAAAGUUGAAGAUGUUGGGCCAGAAACAAUUAACAUUUCAGAUUCCAACUGGACUCGAGUUGUCAUCUGUCAUUAUGAUUUCAAUUCCUUCUAACUAAAUUUAUGUUUUGGAUUUCACAGUUUCUCUGGGGGCCAGGAUGGCAGUUUGUCAACGUGCAGGAUAUUUUUUGGAGUCUGUCUUUGGUAACACUGUUCUUGUUAAUCUCCAUAUCCCAGAUUCAAGGGCUUCCUGAGAAAUACCUUGGCUCUGGUCUUCUCUCUAACACAGAAGUGACAGACCAAACACCAAACCAACCUGGUAAAUUCUGAGGUCACUCAAACUGGCACUGCACUCCAGGAGUGGCCAGAGCCAGUGGGAAAUGAUUCAGGAUCACGGUACUCCAGCACAAGUAUGUGCCUGUCCUUUGCACAGGCCAUAAUGAGGGGCUUGCCUUGCUGACCUUCCUGAACAACUUACUCUGGUUCAACAGUUUCCAGAGAAGAGAUAUCUUUUGCUUGGAGUCUUUACCAGUCUCUGAACCCAUGGGGGUACCUAGGACUGGACAUCACUCUCCAUCCUACGCUCGCCACUAGAUUCAAGUGAAAUGAACUAAAUUCAAAUUAACUAAAUAUAUAUAGUUCUUGCUGUUUGCUGGGCUCUCUGCUAGGCUGUGGGUAUAAAAUGACAAGCUAAGUAGAAUUGAUUUCUGAAGUUUUGACCCUUACAGCAGUGUCUUUCAGAGGAAACACUAGUUUCAAGUGAAACUAAAGCUGUGACAGUUGAAUGUAAUCGUGGAUCUGAAUACACAGUGUUGUGAGGGAGUAUUGAGGAAGAUCUGAUUUACAUGUGUCCUCACCGAGAAAAAGUCAGAAAGGCAGAGAAUGAGAAGAAGGGGCAGAAAGGGCAGAAGCAGAGAGCAGGAGCUUGGCACUCCGUCAGGGAAGAUGAGCCCAGUGCCUGGGGGCAGCUCCCACAGCCCAGACCCUGCUCUUAGGAGGGGCACGGUGGGUGAAGCCUUUCAAAGAGAUGAAGAGCAAAAUGAAUCUGUGUCUUUAUUAUUUUAAUUUUAUUUUAUUACUAUAUGUUUGCAACCCACAGGGUUAUGCUUGAGUUUUUCCCCUUCCUUUCCUCUCCUCUCCUCCUCCUUCCUCCUGCUCUGGCUCCCCUCCCUUUUUGAUACUUGUUCAUAUUUGUCUUAGCUCAUGUUAUGGCUACACCUGGAAUCUGCAUCUUUAAAAGCUCACCCUGGUUUCCGUGUGCAUAGUAGCUAGAAAAAGGGGUGUAAUGAUCCCACUGCUAUGACAAGACAUGCGAGGAAAGCAGCGUACAUGAGGAAAGGCUUGUUUGGGUCUCAGGCUUAGAUAUUUCAGUGCGUGGCCGUCGGUACUGCUUUUUCUGGGCCUUGGUGAGAGAGCACCAUGGACAAAAGUGCGACAGCUCCAAGCUGCUCACCUCAUGGCAGCCAGAAGGCAGAGAAGGAUAAAGACCCCGAGAGAAGGGGAUGGAGGAUGAAACGCAGUCCCCAUGGUCAAGCCCCAGCCCACUUUCUUGGAUCAAACCCCACCUCUUAUUUCAUCAUCUUCCAGUAAUGCUCUAAAAUUAUGGUCUGGUCAAUGGAUUGAUUCAUCUGAUGAAUCCAGUUGCCCCCCUCAAAAGCCCAGUGCUGGCAGCUAGGCCUCUAGCACAGGAGGUUUCAGGAAAAGGCUGUUUCAAAUCCCAACCAUAAGAAGGUGACAGUGGAAACACUGAACAGCGGUGCCAAUCAGAUUAAAAGAGUGAUGUGAUAAGGAGAAGAGUUACAAUGGGGUGGCGAGAAGAGCAAAAUGGCAAAGUGUACCCACAAAACAUGCCAUAUGCAAAGUCCUUGGGAUACAGAGCAAAAAGGCAGGUCACCACAAGGCAGUGUAGGAAACAACCUGUAAUAGUGGCAGGGUGAGGGUGGUAGGAAGUGGGUUUGCGGGUUUAUUUCUGAGCCUCUGAUAUUCCCUGAGGGAUGCCAAGAGAUGGAAGGGAUCUUGGAUUCCUUCCUGACCCUACCCCUGACCCACUGUCCAAGAACCCAGCCUGAUCAGCGGCACUGACCUCAGCCUACAAACACGGAUCCUACUGGCCUCCCAUGCCCUGUGGACUGCAGCCAUCAGCUACCACAUCCACAGGCAAAGCAGUGGCAUGCAGUGUGCUGGCGUGCUCUGGAGGGCUCCCCCGUGGACAGGAGGCCGUGGGGACCUGUGCACCCUGAGGAAUCUCGCUCUGAUAUUCCUGUGGACCAGCAGGUGCAGUCUCACCACGUCCUCUUGGUCAUCAGCUCAGGCUUUCUUGUUGAUCCUGUGACCCGUGCAGUCAGUGAGCGGAAGCCACACAUCACUACCAGGGAAGUUGAUGCUCUCGGGAGGGCCCGGCCCCAUGCAAGGUGGGAUGCUUUCUCCUGAUACGAUGCAUGAUGCAUCCUGGCCCUGCUUGCUUCCAUCCGGAGUCCACGCGCAUGCUCUGUUCUGCAUGGUGGUGAGACCACGCCUCUACCAGGUUCAUUCCAUGUCACAGUCUAGCGCGGGACCUCGCGCUUGAGCUCUGAAUGCCGCGGCUUCAUCAGAACAACGCUUGCCAGCUUCACGCGCGGGGCCAUUGGCACAGAGUUCAGCCCUGAUCCAGGGCGGCACACGGACCAUGUAGUCUCUGCACCAUCUACUUCGUUUGCCCUCCCUCAGCCCAGCCUUCAGGAAAAUGGAGAUGGAAGUCUUGAAGACAGUAAAACUAGGGCGAAAUUAGCAUCUGGUGCUCAACUUUCCUGUUAUACUGCAUCUCACAGGCUCUGUGUAGAGCCAACACAGACGGGAAAAUAGGAAGAGCUGAAGCUCAAAUCAAAUUUAUAGUCUUAUUUUGUAAAUGUAAUGACAUAAUUACAUCCAAAUAUAUAUUUUCUAAGCUUCAGUUUAUUCUUUUGUGGAACAGAGAUAAUUUCACCUUUGUGAAGAGUUGCUAAAAUAGUAAAUCAGAUGAUGAAUACACAAUCAGUGUGGAGCCUAGUACAUGGUAGGAACUAAACACAGAAGUUUUUUUUUUUUUUCUUACUAGAACAUUAAGGUGAACUUAAACUAUUUCCAAA